GGCGGCGUGCUUAACACAUGCAAGUCGAACGGAAAGGCCCUGCUUUUGUGGGGUGCUCGAGUGGCGAACGGGUGAGUAACACGUGAGUAACCUGCCCUUGACUUUGGGAUAACUUCAGGAAACUGGGGCUAAUACCGGAUAGGAGCUCCUGCUGCAUGGUGGGGGUUGGAAAGUUUCGGCGGUUGGGGAUGGACUCGCGGCUUAUCAGCUUGUUGGUGGGGUAGUGGCUUACCAAGGCUUUGACGGGUAGCCGGCCUGAGAGGGUGACCGGCCACAUUGGGACUGAGAUACGGCCCAGACUCCUACGGGAGGCAGCAGUGGGGAAUAUUGCACAAUGGGCGGAAGCCUGAUGCAGCAACGCCGCGUGCGGGAUGACGGCCUUCGGGUUGUAAACCGCUUUCGCCUGUGACGAAGCGUGAGUGACGGUAAUGGGUAAAGAAGCACCGGCUAACUACGUGCCAGCAGCCGCGGUGAUACGUAGGGUGCGAGCGUUGUCCGGAUUUAUUGGGCGUAAAGGGCUCGUAGGUGGUUGAUCGCGUCGGAAGUGUAAUCUUGGGGCUUAACCCUGAGCGUGCUUUCGAUACGGGUUGACUUGAGGAAGGUAGGGGAGAAUGGAAUUCCUGGUGGAGCGGUGGAAUGCGCAGAUAUCAGGAGGAACACCAGUGGCGAAGGCGGUUCUCUGGGCCUUUCCUGACGCUGAGGAGCGAAAGCGUGGGGAGCGAACAGGCUUAGAUACCCUGGUAGUCCACGCUGUAAACGGUGGGUACUAGGUGUGGGGUCCAUUCCACGGGUUCCGUGCCGUAGCUAACGCUUUAAGUACCCCGCCUGGGGAGUACGGCCGCAAGGCUAAAACUCAAAGGAAUUGACGGGGCCCCGCACAAGCGGCGGAGCAUGCGGAUUAAUUCGAUGCAACGCGUAGAACCUUACCUGGGUUUGACAUGGAUCGGGAGCGCUCAGAGAUGGGUGUGCCUCUUUUGGGGUCGGUUCACAGGUGGUGCAUGGCUGUCGUCAGCUCGUGUCGUGAGAUGUUGGGUUAAGUCCCGCAACGAGCGCAACCCUUGUUCACUGUUGCCAGCACGUUAUGGUGGGGACUCAGUGGAGACCGCCGGGGUCAACUCGGAGGAAGGUGGGGAUGACGUCAAGUCAUCAUGCCCCUUAUGUCCAGGGCUUCACGCAUGCUACAAUGGCUGGUACAGAGAGUGGCGAGCCUGUGAGGGUGAGCGAAUCUCGGAAAGCCGGUCUCAGUUCGGAUUGGGGUCUGCAACUCGACCUCAUGAAGUCGGAGUCGCUAGUAAUCGCAGAUCAGCAACGCUGCGGUGAAUACGUUCCCGGGGCUUGUACACACCGCCCGUCAAGUCAUGAAAGUUGGUAACACCCGAAGCCGGUGGCCUAACCGUUGUGGGGGAGCCGUCGAAGGUGGGACUGGUGAUUAGGACUAAGUCGUA
rnacentral:rRNA from 1 species